GACAAAUCAUCGUGUGUGGCUGACCCAGCCAUGCUCCACCUCUCUCCAUCGCUGUGUUUUCCCUGGGAGCACAUCUGUUUUGGCUGCUCCACCUAUUUUUGAAGGCCAGCAGAGUUUGGAAUGUCCCCCGAGGUUUGCCUGGCACUGCAGGAGUGCAGGUGCUGCAGGAAUUUUGCUUGCACAAAGCUCAAGCAGAGCAGGAGACAAAAAGGAGUGGUUUUGGGUGAGAUCUGUGCCUUGCACAAAGGAUCCAUUGGAGGCUGCUGAGGAUGUUUUGUGCCAAGAAGGGAGAAAGAAAUCCUAACAAAUAACAAGUUCAUGGAGUACUUAAAUCUGAAGACAUGUUCAAGCUCAGACAUAACAUCAGGCAUCCUUGUUCAAACAAAAUCCCCUUGGAGUGACUGCAAUUAAACCCAGAAAGGACGUGGGCCUGGUCUUUAUUUUUGAGCUCUUGCCUCUCCAGUGAUUCAGGUUGGCUUGGAUAAUAAAAAUAAAUCUCUCCUCCUCUUGCCA
rnacentral:lncRNA from 1 species